rnacentral:pre_miRNA from 1 species
AUAAUACUCCCUCCGUUCGGAAUUACUUGUCUCGGAAAUGGAUGUAUUUAGAACUAAAAUACAUCUAGAAACAUCCAUUUCUGCGACAAGUAAUUCCGAACGGAGGGAGUAUAAA